rnacentral:sRNA from 1 species
AUUUAUCAUUUUGUUCCAA